AGGCUAGGGAUGGGGGUGUCUGUGCUUCCCUCGCCCAAGCUGAGAGUGGCCUGUUCCCAGGGGGCGGGCUUCCUCUUUGGUUGGCAGCCUGGAGUCUGGAGUGCAGGUGCCGGGCAGGCAGCACUGGGAGCGCUCGGCGACUUGGCUGGAGGCCGAAGGUGCCGCCCCUCGGGGACCAGAGCGUCUUUGCAAGGCGGAGUAUCGCCCUGUCGCACAGGUUGGAGUGCAAUGGUGCGAUCUCAGCUCACUGUAACCUCCGCCUCCCGGGUUCAAGAGAUUCUCCUGCCUCAGUCUCCUGAGUAGCUGGGAUUACAGGCAUUGUGAAGACCCUGUUUCUCUAGCUGUGCAGCUGCAAGGUCACUAGACAGAUCAACUCAAGUCGUAAAACAUGUUUUCCUUGAAAAGUAAGAAAUGAUGUAAUGCAUGUCUCAAUUAAAGAACUGUUUUUGUUUCUC